rnacentral:rRNA from 1 species
AACGAACGCUGGCGGCAUGCCUAACACAUGCAAGUCGAACGAGACCUUCGGGUCUAGUGGCGCACGGGUGCGUAACGCGUGGGAACCUGCCCUUAGGUUCGGCAUAACUCCCCGAAAGGGGUGCUAAUACCGGCUAAUGUAUUCGGACCAAAGAUUUAACGCGUUUGGAUGGGCCCGCGUUGGAUUGGCUUGUUGUUAGGGUAAAAGCCUACCAAGGCGACGAGCCAUAGCUGGUCUGAGAGGAUGCUCAGCCACACUGGGACUGAGACACGGCCCAGACUCUUACGGGAGGCAGCAGUGGGGAAUAUUGGACAAUGGGCGAAAGCCUGAUCCAGCAAUGCCGCGUGAGUGAUGAAGGCCUUAGGGUUGUAAAGCUCUUUUACCCGGGAUGAUAAUGACAGUACCGGGAGAAUAAGCUCCGGCUAACUCCGUG